AGAUGUAUUAACUCGUAAAGCAGCUGUGAUCAUUAUCGGUGAUAGAAAUUCACAUUUAACAAUCUGUAACUAAUUCGAGUCACGAUUAGGUCACUAGUGACGCUGCUGAAGAAUUGACACGAAGUCACAAAUAAGUUGCGAACGCAAAUAUAGGAGGAAUAGAAGAGGAAUAAAUACUAAACGUAAGUUAUGCGCUCUGAAUUGUAUAUAGCAUAUGCUUAUAACAUAUCAUUGUCAUCCUAGGAAGUUUUUAUUAUUCAUUGUGAAUAAAUAAUUAUUCGGAAAUCAUUUGAUCCUCUCAUUGCGAAGCAACAAUUUGACCUGAAUGUGUAUUGAGUGAAAGAAUUUUGGUUUACUUUACGAUAAUCUUAUUGGUUGUAAUAGUUUUGUGUGAUUCUUACCAUUACCAAUCUUGAGGCAGCAUAUUGUAGUCCAUAUGGAAACAAAGCUGCUUUCGAACCGCACGGCAA